rnacentral:lncRNA from 1 species
AGAGAAGAAAACACCCUGCUGUUAUACCUCUGGUUUUACAAAUCACUCAUCAAGGGGACGCCAUGUGUUGUUCAAGUUUGGAUUCUUCAUGUUUUUUUACCCAAAUUUUACAAAAUGGGGCUCAUAUUUGGUACAUCAGCACUAUCGUAAGUGUGUUUUCUAGUUUUACACGCAACAUGAUAGUCAACUAUAAAAGAAACAAAUAUUAGAGUUUAUGUUUUAGUAUUAUUUGACCCCACCAAAAACUACUUCCUGCAACUCAACUGCUGCCAAGCAACGCAUAAACAUUUCUUUAUUUGAGUCUGGUGAUAUGGGAGAUUCUGAGAUACUAGACUGUUCAACUAAUAGAGGAAAAUCUGAGUAAGAUUUGAGUCCUACUCUGUACAUUAAAGAAAAAGAAAUCUCAUGUAGUGAUUUGUUAUUACUGUUGAGUGCUAAAUGAUUCUUGAUAGUCGACACUUUCUUCACUAAAUACAUCAUGUCACUCAUUGUUCAGAGCCAAUUACAAGUCAGGCACAUAUGUUUCAAUUAGAGCUGUAAUGAGAAUCUUUUAGGUUACUGUGUGAGGGUGAAGAGGCCCUCUUUUUGUCUCCUGGAUUUCCAGCUGGGCCCCUGAAAAGAAUGAAAGGGGCCAUUAUCAUUGGUCAUCAAACCGAGUCAUUGGUGAUUGGGAAUCAGUGGAGAUGGAUGCAGAAAAUAGGGAUAGUCUUUUUAACUCUCUGCAGGAACCAAAUUUAAUUUUAUUUAAUGUGAUUUAGUGUCUCUUUGUAAUCUAAAUAGGUAAAAUAACAUACUGUGUAGCCUAGGUGUUUUAUCUUUAGUUACUAUCUCAUUGGCUGUGUACUGGCAAAUAAAUAAAUAAAAAAAACAUUUACCGAAUUAAAUAUUUGGAAUUACAGUGAAACCAACUAUUUUAGAGGGCUUGUACUUAUAUAAGGACAUUGAUGAAAAACAUGUUUGAUAUUUAUUGUUUCCAAAAACAAAACUCACCAAAAAACACAUUUUUCAAGUAUGUUAUUAGAAACUAUAUUAAUACAUUUGCCUACAUUUUACUGUAUCUAACCAGUGCUCAAAAUAUGUGGACUAUGAACAUGUGCAUAAUUGUCAUUAUGCAGGUUUAUUCACAACAAACUCCAAUUUCGUUGGGUUUAAGCCUGCAUUAUGACAAUUAAUGGUAUUCUAUUCUAUGUUGCAAAAACCUGUCAAAGAUUUUCUUUCAAGACACUACAGGCAGGUUAAGACCAAGUGGUCACCUCUAGUCUUUAAAAAUUAAGCUAAAUUAAAAAUUGACGGGCUGCAGUUCCUUGAGUGUCCACUUGAGGGUGUCUACAAAAGCCAAGACAUCGCCAUAGACACCCAUGGAAAAAUGCCAAUUUACAGUAAAAUUCUUCAGAGUCUGGUAUAAAAAAUAUUUUUAGUCUGGGUUGUUCAUUUUUUUAUUCUUAAGAGGAGUGUAACUUUGUGUCCAACAUUUACCCACCAAAGAGCGAUCAGAAACUUCCUUUUUAACAGGCAGAAGCCAUCAGCAGGACCAGACACAUUGGUGAAUGACCAUCUGUCUAAGCUGGUUAGGCCUAUAAAUUGGAAAAGACAGAGAGAGCAAAACAGAAAUAGACCAAAUAAAGGACAGACGAGAUGAACACGCAGCACAGAAAAUAACAGCAGAUAACAAUAAGGAACAAGCACUAGAAAACCACCUUUGCAGGGCUCCCUAAUAUGUAAUCUUCUCUUGUUUACUUUGUAAUAAUGUUGUUUUAACAUGUUGUCCUCCUCAGUACUUACACAGUCGGUGUUUAUGCUGUCUGUCAGCAGCUAGUUCAGGUCCUCCUCCACUAAAAGAGCAUGGCUGGUUCAGCUCUGCGGGCUGAAUGGAGCCACUCUUCACUGCCAACAGCUGCACCGGGCAGGUAGCACGGGCUUUUCAGAGGGGCCAGCCUGCAUCAAUCAACUUAGUUUGAGGGCCCUCUCUGUAAUUGCCAACUAUUAGAAUAUGUGGCAUGAGGGGUUCAGCAUAAUUUUCAAACACAGAGAAAUGGCACCAAGGCCUCCUCUCAAACUCAGUGAUAAUUGAACAAUUAAACUUUAGCAUACAAAUUACCUCUUCAUUUGGCAGAACUAAUUACAGAGGUAGGCUCGGCACAAAGAAGGCUCCCCGAGGUCAAUGCCAAAACUGAUUUUCAUACUUUGGGGCUUCAUUGUGUGACAGGUUUAGGACCAUUAUUGGCUAUUUGUGACUUUAGCGAUCACCAAAAAAAAAGAAGAAAAACCUUUCAAAAAGUAUUUCUCGACUAUUUUUGCAAUUUUAGUACCCAUGCUUCGGCGGGUAAAAUAGUCGCACAAUUUUCAGGUGACUCAGACUCGGGAAUAUUUUCAGACCAUUAACUACAGGUCAUCCAGCUGCAAACCCUUUAAACAUCUCCAACAGGCAGGAUUUGAAUCACCCAGUUUGAUUGGGGCAGUUAAGCUCAUCAUACCCUUCACUGUAAAAUGCUAAUCCUCCCCCGAAACGAAUGGACAAGAAUCCUCAGAGAGCAUAUGGAGAAUCUCUCGUAUUAAUAAUUCAAAGGAAAUGAGCAAAAAUUAGUGAGCAGAGCAUCAGCGAUGUCAUGGAGCCAUUACUCCUGCAAAUGAGAUAUUUAAUUUGUAAGAUUUAAAAUGGAAAUAUGGUCAGGAUGAGAAUUUAUUAACCCCCUCUUUUUUCACGGUACUUGAAACUGAAUAUUAUCAGUCUAAUUCUUACAAAUACAUGAAAUUUAUGCCUCUAUCAUCCACUAGAUUAUGCCUGUUUCUUACUCUCCCUACCUAGACCUUUAAUCAAUAUUAUUCUAGACCCCCAAGAAUGAACUCUAAUGCCUAACUACUCUUUAGAGGGAACCUAAAGCCCACUGGCAAACCUCCACAAAGACAUUUAAGCUCUCCAGGUGCAUUAAGUGCAAAAAAGAGGCUAAUGCUGGUAAUGGCGGGAUUCAGGAAGCUCUUGGAGCAUUGAGAGAACCUAAAGAAGGAUGGUUAUCCAUUAAAAAGGGGGCUGAAGACAACAGCACAGGUUUCCCAGCAGCAGUAAUUGCACCAAAAUAAGCAGAAACCUUCCUCCAAUGAGUAUUCUGCUCCUAAGAGGACAUACAGAGGUGCAGUGUGUGCUGCACAAACACGCCCUCAUGGCAAUAUUUGAUGCUAAAAACUCAGAGAUGAGACAAAUAUGAAUUCGAUAUCCACUCCGACCGAAAAAGGCCA